rnacentral:rRNA from 1 species
UACGAAGGGGGCUAGCGUUGCUCGGAAUCACUUGGGCGUAAAGCGCACGUCAGGCGGAUCUUUAAGUCAGGGGUGAAAUCCUGGAGCUCAACUCCAGAACUGCCUUUGAUACUGGAGAUCUCGAGUCCGGAAGAGGUGAGUGGAACUCCGAGUGUAGAGGUGAAAUUCGUAGAUAUUCGGAAGAACACCAGUGGCGAAGGCGGCUCACUGGUCCGGUACUGACGCUGAGGUGCGAA